AUCCGAAUCUAUCAUUUCAUUUCAUCAUCCACCAUCAAAAUUCAUCACCUUUCCCAAUCGGACCUAUCCUAGAAAACCGGACCUAACUCCGAACCAGAAAACCCUAAAUGCGUUAAACCCAAACCAACAAAACAAACACACAACUUCACUAACACUCUCAACUCCUCCAAUGGCGUCGCAAAUGGCGAUCCUAAAUCGAACACGUUCUCUCCUAACAAAAACCAGCCACAUCACAAUCAAAACCAUAACAACAUUCCCAUUCCAUUCUCAAGAAGCCGAACUAGCAGAACCAACGCCGAACCAAUCAACACCAGCUUCGUCUCUUCCUCCGAAUCCAGCUUCGGGAAGUCCACUCUACAACGAGAAUUGGCGAAAUCCGAUUCCGAAAUCCUCAUCCAACAACGCGGUAACACCUUUCGGACUCUUCACGCGCGCUUCAGUUAAAGAUACUUAUGAUUCCCACGCGCUUCUUGAUAUGUUCGGUGAUUGGAUGGCUUCGCAACGAUGGCAAGAUGUGAAGGAUUUGUUUGAAGAUUGGGUUAGGUCUUUGGAUAAAAAUGGGAAGCCUAAUAAACCUGAUGUUAAUCUUUUUAAUCAUUAUAUUAGGGCUAAUCUAAUGAUUGGUGGUUCUGCUGCUGAUUUGCUUGAUUUAUUAGCUCAGAUGGAACAUUUCAAUGUUUCGCCUAAUACGGCGUCGUUUAAUUUGGUUCUUAAGGCUAUGCAUCAAGCUGGCGAGACUCUUGCUGCUGAGAAACUCGUUGAACGGAUGCUGCAGUCAGGAAAUGAGGCUCUCCCUGAUGACGAAUCAUAUGACUUGGUCAUUGGAAUGUUCUUUUCAACAGAUCAGAUUGAUGCUGCAUUCAAAUAUAUAGAUUUAACUCUGAAACAUGGUAACGUGUUGUCAAUGAAUACAUUUAUGAAUUGUGUGAGGAGUUGUGUCAAACAGAGAAGACUUGAUACGUUGGUGGCAAUAAUUGAAAAGUGCAGGGAAACAGAUAAAAACAAAUCCCUUUGCCCUUCCUGGAACUUGUGCAAUUUUAUUGCUGAAGUUGCAAUCCGAGAGGAUAAUAGUAAGUUAGCCUAUUACGGCCUGGAGUUUAUGGCUAGAUGGAUGGUAAAUGGUGAACGUGCAAGACCUCCUGUGUUGCUUUCAGUAGAUGAAGGUUUAGUUGUGUCAGCUAUGUUGACUGCAGGUAGAACCUAUAAUUCUGAGCUGCUAGGGGCAGCCUGGUCUGUGUUGGGCCGCUCAUUGCGUAAAAAGAAGGUUCCUAAUCCAGAAUCUUAUCUUGGAAAGAUAUCUGCCCUUGCAUCACUGGGGAAUCUACAAAAGGCAUUUGGUACUCUCCAUGAAUAUGAGAUAUCUUAUGGAGAUUCCAAUCAAGAAGCUAAUGACUUGUUCUGCCCAUUUACUUCUUUACAUCCAUUGGUUGUGGCAUGCUCCAAGAAGGGGUUUGAGACUUUGGAUUCUGUUUAUUUUCAACUGGAGAGUUUAAGCCGUGCUGAGCGUCCAUACAAGUCUGUUGCCGCACUAAACUGCAUCAUUUUAGGAUGUGCGAACAUAUGGGAUCUUGAUCGAGCUUACCAAACUUUUGAAUCAAUUGGAUCUGCUUUUGGGUUGACCCCUGAUAUUCAUUCAUACAAUGGGCUGAUGUAUGCCUUUGGGAAGCUCAAGAAGACACAUGAAGCUUCAAAGGUGUUUGAACACCUAGUAAGUUUGGGCGUCAAGCCUAAUGCAAAGUCGUAUUCCCUGCUUGUUGAUGCCCACCUGAUUAACCGAGAUGUCAAAUCUGCUCUAGCAGUGAUUGAUGAUAUGAUAGCUGCUGGAUUCAAACCGUUGAAAGCGACUCUACAAAAUGUCAGAAGGCGUUGUGUACGAGAGAUUGACAACGAUAGCGAUCAACGGGUUGACUCACUUGCUCAAUCUUUGAAUAUACGUAUGGCUUCAGAUGCCCGGCGAAACAUGCUGUUUAAUCUUAAUUACAGUAUGGAUAUGGCUUGAAUGGAUUGACUGCUUUGAAGGGGUACUUGAAUUAUUUUGUUUGUAACCCCUGAUUUCUGUGGCAUUAGAAGGUGCACUUGUCUUUGAGGUUGAAAUGAACCAUUUAUAAGCCAGUUGUUAUUCUUUUAUUGCGUCCAUUUCCGAGAGAAUCCCUGUAUGUAUAUUGGUGGAUGAUCCUGAUGUUUGUCGAGCCAUGGCAGAUUGUUGCACAAGGAACUUUCGUUUCUGUAUUUAUGUGUUUAUGAAGCGGGGAAGGGUGUUGAAGAUGCAAUUUGCUUUUUUUUAAGGAUAUCUGAGCAGUGAUCUUCCUAGUAUAAGUUUUUGUUUUUUGAAAUAAUUAUAGGACAGAUCCCAAUUCAGUAGGAUAGAAGAUACUAAGGAAGACAUUUCUUUCGUGGUUCUUAAUUUUUUGGCCUUUUGCACUACUUCUUUCUCUGACAACCCAGUACUAGGUACUUCCAACGACUAGAAGCUGCAAGGAUUUGAAAACCUUGUAAAAGAAUUGCAAUCCUAAUUGUUUGGACCUGUGGUUCCAUUUAUUUCUAUUGCAAAUAAUGGCAACAUUUUAAUUUGGUGCUCGAAAAA